rnacentral:rRNA from 1 species
GACGAACGCUGGCGGCGUGCCUAAUACAUGCAAGUCGAACGCAUUUUCUUUCACCGUAGCUUGCUACACCGAAAGAAAAUGAGUGGCGAACGGGUGAGUAACACGUGGGUAACCUGCCCAUCAGCGGGGGAUAACACUUGGAAACAGGUGCUAAUACCGCAUAAUUCCAUUUACCGCAUGGUAGAUGGAUGAAAGGCGCUUUUGCGUCACUGAUGGAUGGACCCGCGGUGCAUUAGCUAGUUGGUGGGGAACGGCCUACCAAGGCUGCGAUGCAUAGCCGACCUGAGAGGGUGAUCGGCCACACUGGGACUGAGACACGGCCCAGACUCCUACGGGAGGCAGCAGUAGGGAAUCUUCGGCAAUGGACGCAAGUCUGACCGAGCAACGCCGCGUGAGUGAAGAAGGUUUUCGGAUCGUAAAACUCUGUUGUUAGAGAAGAACAAGGAUGAGAGUGGAAAGUUCAUCCCUUGACGGUAUCUAACCAGAAAGCCACGGCUAACUACGUG